AACGAACGCUGGCGGCGUGCCUAACACAUGCAAGUCGAACGAGAAAGGGGCUUCGGCUCCGAGUAAAGUGGCGCACGGGUGAGUAACACGUAGGUAACCUGCCUCUAAGAUUGGGAUAACCUGUCGAAAGACGAGCUAAUACCGAAUAAGACCACGGCUUCCUCGGAAGCAGGGGUCAAAGGUAGCCUCUACUUGUAAGCUAUCACUUAGAGAUGGGCCUGCGUACCAUUAGCUAGUGGUGGGUAACGGCCUACCAAGGCAAAGAUGGUUAGCUGGUCUGAGAGUAUGAUCAGCCACACUGGAACUGAGACACGGUCCAGACUCCUACGGGAGGCAGCAGUGGGGAAUAUUGCGCAAUGGGCGAAAGCCUGACGCAGCAACGCCGCGUGAGUGAUGAAGG
rnacentral:rRNA from 1 species